ACUGCCACACCCAGCUAAUUGUUGUAUUUUUAAUAGAGACAGGGUUUUACCAUGUUGACCAGGCUGGUCUUGAACCUCUGACCUUGAGUGAUCCACCUGCCUCAGGGACCCCUUGGAGAUGUGGCUUCUCUGCGGAACCCUUCCCCUGGAGUUCCCUGUGCCCCGCGGACUGGUUCCCGAGCCACCUCUGUGUCCUGGGCGUGUUGUGAAGCCAGAUCCGCCGUGCGCCACAUCUCUUUGUCCGUCUGAUCCUGUAGAGCACUUUCCUCAUACUUAGGUCCCACAUCUGACACCAUCAAGUCCAAGCUCCUUCAUGGACAUGGUUGUCCUGAAUCCACAGCCACUUUUGGUGGGCAAUGGAGAAGCAACUGCAGCCACACCUCAUGUAUGUAGCUCCAUGACCCUGCGAAACCAAGCCUGGGCACCUUGCUUCAGAGUCCUGAUGCUGAAAGAGAGAGUCUUCCCAUGAAAAGCGAGUAAGGCAGUAAAUCAGAUUAAGUAGGUCAAGCAUGGUGACCAAAAAGAGCCGAUUUUGGAUGAAUCCUGGAGUUACUAAUUCACUGUCACUCAGAUGUGGAAAUGAAAUAUAGAUUUUCCACUCUAGUAUAGCUGGUUGCAAUAACACCAGCCAAUGUUGAUUGAGCACGUGCUAUAGGCCAAGCACUAGUCUGGCACAUUAUGGUCCCACAUGAAGCCCACACCUUGUGAGUUAGGUAUGAUGAUCAUCUCUAAAACUGAGGAGCAGAGAGGUUAUAUAGCUUUCUCUAGGCCACACAGCAAUUAAUGGGAUCAGCUAAGAUUUGAACCCCAGCACAAUCAGAUUAUAAGCCUGAGCAUUAACCACUAUGUUACACGAUACCUUUUCUAUGUGGCUCAAGGAAAAACAUCUGUGAAGGAAGAGGCUGCCACUGAGCUGCUCUGGGGCCAGCGUCAGCACAGGUGCAAGACUCCCAGCCUGCCUGUUGUCUGGUGGCCUGAUCUGAUGCUCUCCGAGAUCCCCAGUGGACACCUUUAUACUCCAAGUAGAGCUGGAGGCAUGGGGUUGAGCAAGUAAUUUGCCUGGGAACCUCUGCCACAUGAAAGGAAGCAAAUGAGGCCCCUAAAGAUGACCAAGGCAUGUGGUGAGCAGGUGGAAAUCUGUGCACAGACUGACAGAUCCACUGCUCUUCCCUGUUCUUCCCGCGCCCUGAAUCUGCUGCUAAUUCUAUACCUGCUGUGACACCCAAUAGUAUCAUUUAAAGGCAGGUGCACUGAGAUAAAGAGAAUGAGCCGACUCU
rnacentral:lncRNA from 13 species